UGGGGAAUAUUGGACAAUGGGCGGAAGCCUGGUCCAGCAACGCCGCGUGAGGGAUGACGGCCUUCGGGUUGUGAAAUCCUCUUUCAACCCAUUGAUCGAAGCUGCAUCUUUUGGGUUGUGGUGACGGUAGGUGGGGAAGAAGCACCGGCCAACUACGUGCCAGCAGCCGCGGUAAUACGUAGGGUGCGAGCGUUGUCCGGAAUUAUUGGGCGUAAAGGGCUCGUAGGCGGUUUGUCGCGUCGGGAGUGAAAACAUCCGGCUUAACUGGGUGCUUGCUUUCGAUACGGGCAGACUAGAGGUAUGCAGGGGAGAACGGAAUUCCUGGUGUAGCGGUGAAAUGCGCAGAUAUCAGGAGGAACACCGGUGGCGAAGGCGGUUCUCUGGGCAUGAUCUGACGCUGAGGAGCGAAAGUGUGGGAGCGAACA
rnacentral:rRNA from 1 species